CUCACCAGGCUAGGGCCUGUUUAAGGGUCUCCCUCUUCCCUUCACAACUCUCUUGCUCCUCCAUCUAUUUAGAAUGGGACCAGGCAUUAGAGACCACAAUGUUGUACCCACAAAAAUGUCAUACUGAGGGCCAGAAGCAGGAAGAUUGAAAUUAGUUUCCAGUUUCUUCUUCUCAAGUUGGACCCUAACCCACAUCUAGACAGACACUGCUUCUCUUCUCCUUGGUCUUAACUCUUUUUGAAUUUCCUUAAUGGAUUUCAAAUUGUGCUUCAAGAAAAAGAAUUCUGAGGCUGUGAAUGAAAUAGCCCUAAUAAUUCAUGAUGCUAGGGAUUUGAACAGGAAUCCAAAGGGAAGACGUUUUCACCAUACGAAAGUCUAGAUUUUUAACUUUUGCUUUCCUGCCUAGACUUCAAAAUGACCUCUCGACUCUGAUAAAUGUGGGCAAGAAUGUAGUAGAACCAAUUGUCAGUAGCAUUGUCUACCAAAGGUUUGGGACAGAGGUUUCAAAGUCAAAUGUCUUCAGGGUCCAGGGCUUUGCCACCUGCAUAACAUCUGGUUUGAACUAGGAGUUCUAUGCCCUAGCCCCACUCUCAUCAACUCUCCCACAAAAUUAUCCUUUGAACAAGAGCUUGCCACCCCAUCACAACCAGCAGAGCGGAAGUCCACUGUACAAAGACACCCAGUAAAAGACAAAGACCUCUGAGUGGACAGCACUGGCUACCAGUUAAUGGGCUUCUUAGGAAAAGGAAGUAAAGACUGAUGUUACCUAUCCAAAUAGGCCAUAGGGACCUCCACAAAUGAUACAAAUGAAAUACAAUUCCCUUUGCCUUUCAAACACAAGUCCAGCAUUUUCAAAGCCCAUUUCUACUGGCACGUUAUAGGACCCCACAAAGAGAGCUUCUACCUCAAGAAGUCUGAUGUCUGCAUAGGGGAGACAUGCAUACCAAUAAAAAGCUCUGGGCAGAACCUGUUAUAAAGAUAUAAAAUGUGCCCAAGAGCAUGAAGAAAGCAUCAUUCUCACCUUCACAGUGUAGUAGUCCAAGUGGUCUACUAGGGAGACAAAUAUUUCUGCACGAGUGAUAGUCCCCACCAGACUCUAAACAGCUUUGUGGCAUUGCCCUUCAUACUUUCUCUCAGAAAAGAGAAAUAAAAGGCUUCCCAG
rnacentral:lncRNA from 1 species